UACGUAGGUGGCAAGCGUUAUCCGGAUUUAUUGGGUUUAAAGGGUGCGCAGGCGGGGGAUUAAGUCGGCGGUGAAAUUUUGCAGCUCAACUGUAAAAGUGCCUUCGAAACUGGUUUCCUUGAGUGUAGAUGAAGUAGGCGGAAUUUGUGGUGUAGCGGUGAAAUGCAUAGAUAUCACGAGGAACUCCGAUUGCGCAGGCAGCUUACUAAACUACUACUGACGCUCAGGCACGAAGGCGUGGGGAUCAAACAGGAUUAGAUACCCUGGUAGU
rnacentral:rRNA from 1 species